UUGGUGCUCAGGGCUUGGGUCCUCCUGUCCCUGGGGCUUCUCCAGAGCGGCGGAGACUGUGACUGGGCAGGGCCUGGCUGCCUUCUCGGCCUCUUCUCUCUGGUCAGCUGCCCUUCCUGGGAGGCCCCACAGUGGCAGCUCCCUG
ensembl:miRNA eca-mir-8975 eca-mir-8975